rnacentral:piRNA from 1 species
UGUGAGAAGAUGGUCAAUGCCCGC